rnacentral:lncRNA from 1 species
GCUGUAACAGAAUGCCAUUCUUUCUCUCUCUCCCUCGCCCUCCCUCCCCCUCCCCCUCUCCCUCUGUCCCUCUCUCUCUCUCUCUCUCUCUCUCUCUCUCUCUCUCUCUCUCUCUCUGUCCCUCUCUCUCUCUCCCUCCCUUGCCCUCCCUCCCCUCCCCCUCUCCCUCUGUCCCUCUCCCUCUCUCUCUCUCUCUCUCUCUCUCCCUCUCACUCUCUCUUUCUCUCUCCACACUUACCUUUUGUUUUCUUACAGUUCUAGAGGCUUAGAAAACUAGGACCAAGACACCAGUUUGUUACCUGCUAAGCACAUUCUUCCUCAUUUCUUGUCUUCUUGUGCCUUCUUUUGAUCUACAGGAAUAUCCUUCCCUGGUCUUUCUCACAAAGGCGUUCAAAUCAUCCUCAAGAUCAGAUCACCUUCCAAGGUCUCACUGCCAACACCAUCACCACAGACCAUGAGCUUCACCAUCCACAUUUUGAUGGAUUAUAUACAUUCAAGGGCUUGUUUGGUGGCUGGGAGGAGUCGGUGUAUGUUGAGGAUCAAGACAAGAAUGAGGUCAAUGAGAGAGCCCAAAAGUCCUCAUCUGGUUAUGAGAAAAAUGCAGUUUAUAAACUUCUCUUCUCUGAUGGAAAGAUGAGUUUUCUUUGUUUAUUUAUUGAUGAACCUGCCUAUAUUUUGGAACGAUGUAUAAAAUAUAGUUAAAAACAGAUUGAGGUAAAAUUCCUUCUCAAUUUUUCUGACUAUUAAUUUCAUAACUUCCCUGUGUCAUGGAUACCCAAAAGUAAAGUUAAUACUAUUUCUGAAUGUAUAUAUGUGAGGUUUUUUAAAAGAGAUUAGCAUUUGAAUGCGAGGGCUCAUUAAGAAAAUUACCCUUUCCCAGUGCCUCUAAGUUCCAUCCAAUCCACUGAGAAACUAUGACCUGGAUGAAACAGAAAGGCAAGGAAACGUUGAGUGUUUUUUCCUGAGCCUAAUCAUCAGGAUCCCCUGCGUAGACUGAAACUGUGACCACAGACACUUCAGACACUUCUGGUAUGUAACCCCUCCAGCUCAAUUUGGACUUAGAAUAUGACUUUUCUGGGUCUCCAGCUUGCAGAUAGCAGCCCUUACAACUUCCUUUCCUCCAAAGUCCUAUAAUAUAAUCAUGAGGCCUAUUAUUAAUAAUCCAUCCAUAUUUAUAAAUGCAUGUAUAUAUGUAAACAAGGCUCUGUCCAUCUGAAGAUCUCUGACUUAUAUAUCCUUGAUAUGUUAUAGUAAAAAA